CCUACGGGUGGCAGCAGUGGGGAAUAUUGCACAAUGGGGGAAACCCUGAUGCAGCGACGCCGCGUGAGUGAAGAAGUAUCUCGGUACGUAAAGCUCUAUCAGCAGGGAAGAAAAUGACGGUACCUGACUAAGAAGCCCCGGCUAACUACGUGCCAGCAGCCGCGGUAAUACGUAGGGGGCAAGCGUUAUCCGGAUUUACUGGGUGUAAAGGGAGCGUAGACGGUGAUGCAAGUCAGAAGUGAAAGCCCGGGGCUCAACUCCGGGACUGCUUUUGAAACUGUGUGACUGGAGUGCAGGAGAGGUAAGCGGAAUUCCUGGUGUAGCGGUGAAAUGCGUAGAUAUCAGGAGGAACACCAGUGGCGAAGGCGGCUUACUGGACUGUAACUGACGUUGAGGCUCGAAAGCGUGGGGAGCAAACAGGAUUAGAUACCCCAGUAGUC
rnacentral:rRNA from 1 species